UUCUCCGAGCUCGACACUGCUUAAAUCAGCUACGUCGUUUUGGAAAUCACGAAGAUCUUCCCAUCCAUCCAUGUUUUAAGCACAAACAUAUUUUUUUUUCUAACAAACAAACGCAAGUAAGUAGAUCAGCCGUUACAAUAGAACAGCUGAUGUAUGUGAAAUCCGCCAUCUUGCCGCUUAGCGAGAGU